rnacentral:lncRNA from 1 species
UGUGGCCAGCCAUAGCAAGAAAAAAGAGAGGAAAAGAAAAACAAGAAACCUAGGUGGGAAAAUUAAAGAAAAAGUGUAUGAUUUCAAGGAAUCAAGCAAUCAAAGGUAAAAUUUCUUGAUUUUGACUUGUGAUCUACCUUUCCCAUGCUUUUCUCCUUAUUUUUCAUGGUUAGAUUUCAUGUUUUCAUGGUAAAUUCAUGGCUGCCCAAAUGGGUAUGGAGAGAGAAUGAAGUUAGAUUGAUUUGAUUUUAAGUUAUGUUAGUGUUUUAAGUUAGUUUAGCAUAUUUAGAAACAAAACAACAAGAAAAGAAUUCAUUUUCCCCCAUUACCAUCAUUGGCUGAAUUUCCUAGGGAGAAUAUUGUGGCUGAAUUUGAUGAUAUUUCAUGAUUUUUUGGUGAUAUUUGAUGUUUGGUGAGGCUAGAAAUUAAAUGGGAAAUUUUGGUGCAAAAAUACGAAUUUUUGCUCAACAUAUAGACAUGUGUAAUUAUUGACCCGGGACCGAUAAAUUGAACCUCAUUCACAUUCAUUGAGGUAAUUUAGAUAUAAUUGGAGUGUAGAAAGUGAAAAGAAUCGAUUUGGAAUUAAAUUGAAGAUUUUAGCCGAUUAGACCGAGAAUAGUGUGAAUUAGGUCGAAUAUCGUAUUUAAACGGCUAUUCGGAUAUUUUUGCAUUCCAUAUCAUGCAUUAGUAGUCUAAAUUAGUUUAAUUUCAAUUUAAUAUCAAUGUGGUGAAUUUCUCAAUUUUGUACUGUGUCAAGGUGGUGAGUCCUCUGAUAAACGCAAAGAAAUUGCAUCCGAGGACCAGUAGACAGAAUACUUCGAAAGUCUGCAUUCUAGACAUUGUGAGUAAACUUACUGUCAUUUUAAUUAUCUAAGGUGGUUUUUAGAUGAUUUUAUGAAUUCUAUGGAAAAAUAGAUUUAAAAGGUAAAUUUUCAUGUUUUAUGAAUAAAGGUGUUCCAAUGAAAUUAAAUUAUAAAUUGUUUUGAAAUUAAUAAUGAUUUUGAAAAAAAUAGAGUACGCGGAGACUGUUAAUUGUGGCAAUUUGAUUGUUUAAAUUGAUGGCUUAUGUUAUAUUGUUAUUGUGUUGGCAUAACUGGCUAGGCUAUGUUUUAUGAAUUGUAUGAAUUGUUUUAUUUUACCCUUGCAGGCUAGGUAGUAUUUCAUUAGCCCUGUCAUGCUAUCAAAACUUUAUUAUAUGGUAGAUUAUAUAUUAAUUAAUCACUACAGUAGGGUGUUUCUGUGGACCAGCCUUUUAGAAGGGCACAAUAAACCCCAUUAUAUUCUUACCUUGAACGGAGAGGCGCGUAGGGUAUCUCUUGGGGUAAAGUUUAGGGUUCACUUCACGUUAAACCACCACGUGAGGGUGAACUCAGCCAACGCCAAGAAACGGCUGUGAUGUCCAACGAAAAAUGUGUUUUAUGUGAAAUGUGAAUUUUUAACAGCCUUGGCCGUCUCGGUAGGAUGCCUCAGCCAAGGUGUCCUCGAGGAUGGAUUUAUGGCACAAGCCUAGUUUUUAUGAGAUUCAUAAGCCUCUUUACGUAUUUUAAAUGAAAUGUAAUCUAACGUUGUGACCCAGUUUACGAUGAUUUACUUUAUUAUCUCAACGUACUCAACUCUAGAUGUUUAUGAUGAUGUCUGUUUACUUAUUAGGAUUUUAUAAUCUCACCACCCUCAUUUCCAUCCAUUUCAGGUUCAGUAUAAACUAUAGAUAGCUAAUCUCAUCGAGGACUACCGUUGGAUCUGCAUUUUCCAAACCGUAGGUUCACAGUCCUUUUUACUUUUGUUUAUUCGAGGGCCCUCUUGUUAUUGUAAAUUAAAUUAAAUAUUUUGGCUUACUGUAUUACAGUAUGUAUAAAUUAUUUAGCUUUUACGCUACAAAAAUUAUUUACGUAUAACUCUAAAAAUAUUAUUUCAUAAGAAAAUAGAAUAUUUUACUUAAUAUUUC